AUGUGUCAACAGAAACUUGAGGAAUACCAAAUUGCUCUCUCCAAUUUCUUUUUUGAGUAUGUUCGGAACAUAUGGUGUAUGCUCAAAACAUUGCUGGGGCGGAAUCAACAACAAAAUCUUGCUGAAACAGAAGCAUUUUUUAUUUUUGCUGUAACAAAAAAGAUUUUCAUGCAUACAAACAAGGGCAAAGGUCGAUGUAUAAGGAAGAAGAAUUCCCAACAGGCAGUUUGUGACUGGCCACUCUACACUUUUGAUGCGCAAGAGAGAAUUCUUGGUCCUGUAGAAUGCCGAACAAGACGGCGCCUAGUUGCCGCCUCUUUUGCUGCUUGUCUUUGCACAAUAUCGGUUCCUGUAAAACUGGAUUAA
rnacentral:rRNA from 1 species